UGGGGAAUAUUGGACACUGGGGGGAACCCUGAUCCAGCCAUGCCGCGUGUGUGAAGAAGGCCUUAUGGUUGUAAAGCACUUUAAGCGAGGAGGAGGGUACUGGUAUUAAUACUACCAGGUACUGGACGUUACUCGCAGAAUAAGCACCGGCUAACUCUGUGCCAGCAGCCGCGGUAAUACAGAGGGUGCGAGCGUUAAUCGGAUUUACUGGGCGUAAAGCGUGCGUAGGCGGCUAAUUGAGUCGGAUGUGAAAUCCCCGAGCUUAACUUGGGAAUUGCAUUCGAUACUGGUUAGCUAGAGUGUGGGAGAGGAUGGUAGAAUUCCAGGUGUAGCGGUGAAAUGCGUAGAGAUCUGGAGGAAUACCGAUGGCGAAGGCAGCCAUCUGUCCUAACACUGACGCUGAGGUACGAAAGCAUGGGGUGCAAACAGG
rnacentral:rRNA from 1 species